UCAAACCCAAGGAGUCUGAAUGCAGAAUUUCUUUGUAUUCCCAAUCUCUAACAUAGUGUCUGGUACAUAGUUCAAUACAUGUGUGAUGAAUUGAAUGGAAUCUUCCUCUUGGGUAAUAGUUUUAUACCCUAACUCCACCAAAUAUUUCACUUGAGCUGCUGACAAGUGCAAAAUUGACUGAUUUGAGAUUUAUCUCUUCUGCAGUUCAGCCUAUGCAGCUGAUUUUCUGAUUAACAGUGAAAUGCUUCAUUGCUGACAGGACAUCUUCUCAAAAGAUUAAGGGGAAAAUCUAAUUAAUAUCCCUUCAGGCCACUUUACCUACAAUUCACUUUUAGUUCACAAUUGGAAAAUAUCAGAAGCUGAUGAUAAAUAUGUUAAAGAAUGUAACUGCUUCUACAAAAACCUGCCCAGAAUUAAACCUUCCUAUUGUUCUUCAAUAGAAUUGUCUUAAGCCAGAAGCAGCAUCUUAAAGACUAGGGGAGAAUUGUGUGCAUGACAUUUACACAUGCCUGUGGAGGCUACAGUCUCUUCUCAAACUGAAUUCCCAGUCCGAUUUUAUUAUUUUUGUUUUUAGUUCAGAUGUCUUGAUUUUCCUUUCCCUGACCUAUGACCACACACCACGAUGUCCCCAACUUCUCACAUUAUAGUUUCACAUUAAGAGAGGGGCCUGGAGUGAUUGUCUGCAUGCAAUGGACCCAGUGAGGCCCUAGGAGAACAUGAAGAAAGUACUAGCAUGAACGGUAGGUACAUGCCACGGACUCCGAAAAUAUCCCUGUUGGCUAUGAAAUGGUAAAGUAGGUGCAGCCACACAGGAAAACAAAAACAAGGCUUGGAAGAAGUUGAUUAUAUUGACAAGUCCUAGAGAGGAAGUCACUGCAUGCCAUGCAGGGCCACAGGACAAUCACUAGGUUUCAGUCAGGUGGCAGAAAGGAGCAAGGGGAAAGUCAAGGCCAGAGCCUUUAUUGUGGUUUCUGUGGGAAACCCUAUAGAAACAGCUGGGUAAGGAUAAACAGUUCAGGACUGACCAGUUUAGAGAAUUCCCAUGGGCUUUGGGCAAUAGGGAUUGUCUCUAGUUGCCUGGUAGCUGGCCCUAGGAUGAUUUAAGGCAAAGGAAUACAGGCUUACUGGGUGAGACAUAGAUAAGCAGGUGUUUGGAGCUAUAGACUCAGGAUUGGUUGGUUUGCAUAUGAAAGAAGUGAUCCCAGCUGAGCCCUUUGCUAUCCUUAAGAAUGGAUUAGCCCUGGGAGGAGCCUCUCUCGUGGCCAGGAGCUUUUCCAAGGCGUUAAAAACAUCAUAAAAUAUAGAAAAUAAAAGACCUGAUUAAUACACCAUGCAUAAAGGAGUUUAUGUUUAUAUCUACAGGAGAAGUAAGUCUGUACAUUAAAAGGUAAAUAAUAAGACAAGGUAAUUGUGAGAAAUGAGAUGAUUCAUUUCCCGAAAUACCAAAUAAAAGCUGUGCUGUCUAGUUAAUAGGUUUACAACCUAUUGGAAGUAUGUGCGAACCCGUCCUUCCACAGUGGAGCCCCAAACCCUUAGAUACUUCACUUCCUGGUUCUUCUUCCCCUCUCCAUUUUGCAGGCUUAUUUCUUGUGGGCUUUGCAAUAAGCCUCUGCCAAAGAACUGAAGUCUCCGCAUCACCUCAAGGAAUGUACAUUUGUUCCAAUCAGACUGCUUUUUGCCUUAAAAGGGCAUAGGCGAUGUCCGGAACUGAAAUGGAAGAAUGCAAUCACAGAUCUGAACACAUGCAACAUGGAAAGAGCGUGUUUCAUCCAAAUCUCUAGGAUGAAGCAUCAUGACCUAGGUAAGAAAACUGGAUCCAACACAAGGAGACCUCAGACCCUAGAGUGGCUCUCCACUAGCUGAGAGAUUUGGGUAAAUACCUCUCUUGAGUGCUAGCCUCUGCUACAGCUAGCUGCACUAUACUACCCACCAGCCCCUGAAGAUGCCACAGGACAAACCACAGGCAGACUUGGUAACAACAGCAACAACGAUCACUGUGUUCCUUCUGUGGGCCAGCCAUGGUACCGAACACUUCUCAUUCUCUCCAUCAUUUAUUUCAUUCACUCAGUGCUACUGAGGACACUGUUCUAGGUGCUGGUGAAGCAACAGUAACAAAACAGGUAAGAAUUCCUCCCCUCACGGAGCUUACAUUCUAAUGGGAGUAUUCCUCAUGUCUUGUACCCGUACGCCAUGAAGGACUUGCUGUUCCCAUUUGAAAUACGAACAAAUGAAGGUGGCAUCUAUUGCUAAUUGCUUAUCCAUUCUUCCUUGUUCUAAACAAACAAUAUUUAUUUAAAAAAAAAAUUUUAACGUUUAUUUAUUUUUGAGACAGAGAGAGACAGAGCAUGA